rnacentral:lncRNA from 1 species
GUCCCCUUCUCCUGCUACCUGCCUCUUCUGGGCACAGACCUGGAUCCUGGCUUCAGUCUUCUGACCCUACGUCUUCCAUUUCUGUGUCCUGUUUUAGAUAGACUGUGUGGUAGAUCACAUGACAAGUGACAGUUGCCAGGGCUGAAGGGACCAUCUCUAGGGAUAUGUUUUUAUUCAAAGUCCCUUACCUGUGACAGAUACAGUCCUGGUAACUUAGCUGUGGCCAGGUUAGACUUGUGUAUACCCUGGGGAGCUGUUUGUUUCUGUUUUGUUUGUGUUUUGUUUUGUGAGAAACACCUUUGGAUUGCCAGGUACUCAUGACCCAGAGACCAUGACCUGUGCUCCUUCCUGACUUUCCAUUCCUACUGGCCCUCAGCAGCCAGCACCCCAACCUCCAAGGCUGGGCCUUCAGCCUCACAGAGGCCACAGCGAGCAAGCAGCAGCAAUGCCGGGAAAGGUGAAACUUUCCAGGUUCUCUGGCUGAAAUCUAAGUGGGAACCUUAUGAAGGGGAAGACAGGAAGCCCCUGCCACUCCGGUGUUCAGGCAACACGUUCCUUCUGCGUUCUCUUUUCCACACCGAGUUAGGACCGGAGAGAUGGAAUGUAACCAACCUGACACGCUGUCCAUUUAGGAGUGAGAUCUCCUAUUUUCUUAGAAACAGUGGUGGAAAAAGCCAAGAGACUCCAAAGAGGGCGAUUUCCUACAUGAUUCUGAUUUAUCUGGAGCCAGAAAAUCGAAGGC